CCCUGAAAGAUGAUCAGGUUGAUAGGUCUGAGGUGGAAGUGUGGCGACACAUGGAGCUGACAGAUACUAAUCGAUCGAGGACUUAACCAA
rnacentral:rRNA from 1 species